AGUAUAUAUUCAGUAUGUAACCCUAACUGCUAUUGGAAUCAGAGAGAGGCAAACUUUCCACUGGAUCUUAUCUCUGUUAAGCUGGUAACUGUUAUCCGGUCCAGCCUCGCUUACUUAGUGAGGACUGGGCAACCCUGCUACCCUUCUUAUGUGCUGCUUUGUUAUGCCUGCCGUCCUCUCCUGAGCUCUCGCAGUUGGCACACAGCCCUCCGAGCCCCUCACUCACGCAGUAUCCAUACAGGACAGCCUCCACAUUCCCGCUGGGUGGUGCUGUUGGCUCUACAACGGUGUGAGCCGCGGCUGCAAAGGGACGGCGGCGGUCCCCGGGCUGGAGCUUCUCGCCUCGCUCCUUUCUGCUGCGAAACACCACGACCUCAACUAACGCGGCGUGUUUCGGACGGAGGUUCUCGCAGCGCAGAGCGGCGAUCGCUCUCCCUCUCGUUUGCUGGUACCGUUACGCGAGGUGCUUUCACAGCGGUGGUUUUGCGUGCUGUACCGCAUUCUGUUGUGCCCGGAGCUGCCUGUCGCGACUCCCACUGCGGUAACCGCUGCUGGCACGGUGUGAGCCCCCCUUGCGUGGCUGCAGCACUCGGGCGCCCAUCCCGCUGCACGCACGUGUUCGCUCCUUACAGCUACAGGCACGAACGGCCCCGCACCGCGCUGUCCCGCAGCGCUACCUGCCCCGCAUCGCCCCGACCCCUCCGGGCGGCCCGUGGGCGCAGCCCCUUCUUGCUUUUAUUGGUCGCCGGGGCACCCGCGGGCGGCUUCGGCGGUGCUGAGUGGCGCGGCCCCCCGUCCGUCAGCGCCGCCCAUCGCAGCACGCCCGAGCUCCUGUCACAACAGAGCGGGGCUGCGGCUGCACUUCCUGCGCUCCCGGCUUCGCAACGCCGAGCCGAGCAUCUCCCCCGGCCGCCCCGGGCAUGGCCGCUCCGCGGAGAACCGGCUUCAGCCCCGCCGCACGCUGAGCGGAGCGCCGCGGGACGCGGUUCCGCCCUCCCCUCCCGCGUCCCCCGCAGAAGU
rnacentral:lncRNA from 1 species